GGGUUGUGAGGUUAAGCGACUAAGCGUACACGGUGGAUGCCAUGGCAGUCAGAGGCGAUGAAGGACGUGCUAAUCUGCGAUAAGCGUCGGUAAGGUGAUAUGAACCGUU
rnacentral:rRNA from 1 species